GAUGAGUACAGCAUAUGUCUGUAGGAAACUUUCUAAACUGCUCUUUUCGGUACUUCAAAAUUAAUACUCUGAUGUCAGCACUGUUGAGCAGACCUUUGGGGUUCUUCACUGGUGGGUCUUUAUUAACCAACUUGGUGGCGCUUUCGGCUAUGCAGCCGUCUUCAGCUGGAAUACAAAUGGAAUCCAUUUGUAUUCCAGCUGAGGAUGGCUGUAUGGCCGAGGGCGCUGCUAGGUUGGUUAAUAAAGACUUGUUGGUGAAGAGCCCCAAAGGUCUGCUCAAUGGUGCUGACAUCAGAGUAUUAA
rnacentral:lncRNA from 1 species